rnacentral:lncRNA from 1 species
AAACGUAUCUUAGCAAACGCUAAUAAAGGCGCACGAUUCAGCACGGCAACGUUUGAUUCCUGCGUAUAUAUAUACCUUAUAUGAAGAAAAGAAACAUAACAAUUUAACAAAAAAUCAGACAAAUUCUGAAUAUAUUUUAAAAAUAAAUUUGACCUUUCAUACGAUCACGACAAAUCUGGUCCACCCCAAAACACUUCUCUCGCGGCGCCCGCCCUCUGAUCCAGCCGCGGUCGCGCGGAAUCUCGCCGGGACGAAUCCGCCCCGCGCAUACCCCCGCCGGCCUCGGAGGACGCGAUUCUCUGCGCGUCGAGGUGAGCACCCGUGCCCGAUGCCGCAAUUUUGGGCCGGUUCGACGGGGAGUGUCGUCUUCCGCGAAACGGGAUCUAGGUAUCUUCAGGUGAACAGGUUCCUCGCGCUCUGAGCGAGGGUGGUCACCGGCGGUGUGCCAUGGUGGCUCCCCUCCCGUCGGCAGGGACGUGUCUCUCCGCCGGUGGCGGCCGCUGCCGCUCCCACCCUCUCCUUCAAGCGCUCGCCGAAGGCUUGGGCCGACUGGGCGGAGGAGCCGGAUGAUGCGGGGCCGAUGGAACUUCCGAUCUCCCUCGCGUUGCCGAAGUUGGGCGUGUUCUUGGAGGCGGCUUGGCCGGCUAGGCCGCGAGCGAGGUCGGUGGCGUCUCGGCUGGCUAUGGCGUCCCCGCGGCAAUGACCCUCUAUGGCCGGCAGAUCACGUCCCCCCUCUGCCCUAGCGAGGUCCGGCGCGUUGCCCGGGUUAUCCCCCACAGCGACGCCCGUUCCCCAUGCCGAUGGUUGCCCUGUUGUCGCCGGAGCCACGUCCUCGUCCGCGCCGGCGGUGCCGGAGGCAUGGUCGGGGCCGGCCGGGCUGCGAGGAUGCGGGGGUUGUGCCCUAGCUCGAUGGGGCCGUUGGCUGGCGGCUGGGCCGGCCGUCGCCCGUGUGGGCCGGAUUGGGGUGGACCUGGUGAGCUUUCGGCCCAGGCGGGUGCUCGGUGCUUCUAGGCGCGCGGACUCAAUCUUGGAAUGGGCCAAUAGGCCGUGGGCCCUGGCGCUGGCCGAUCCGGCCCGUUAGCUCUGGGUCCAACGGGGCGGCCCAGGCCCGCGGUCGGGGUGGCCGGCCACUCACGCUGACGUGGAACGUUGGGGUAGGGUUUCCCCUACCCUCCAGCGCUCCCAGAUCGAGCCACCGCCAACUCGCGUUUCCCAGGCCGAGCCGCUCCCUGCCCGAGUGCCCGUGUCCGCGCCGCCACCUGCCACUGCCUCCCUUCCCAUGCCGCCUCCCGCCCGAGUUCCCCUGCCCGUGCUCGCCUCGCCAGCGCCGACCCGUCCCCUGCUUGCGCCGUUGCUCGCGGCGCCCGGUGUGCACGUCCCUUCGCCCCCUCCCUUCGCGGCUCCGAGCCCCUGUGCCCCUGUGCCACGCCUCUCGUACCGGGACGCGCUGAUGCCCCGGUCGUUCGGAGACGGUCUGGCAAGGCCGAAGCGGCCGCUCCCGGCUAGCUCGGCGCCCCGGCCCGAGUCCGGUGUUCCUGCGUCUGCCCCGAAGGUGAUGUCCGGUGCGGCCUCCUCGCGUUCCGGCCGGGGCGGGACUGAUCGGCCGGAGAGGUCCCCGGUGUUCUACUCCGGCACCUCCCUGCGCCGCCCCCCGCCUCCCCGGGAUCCGACAUGAAACCCCCGCCUGCCGCUUCCGGGCUCGCGGGGGGAUGUUCGCCGCCGGGAGGCUGCCCGCCUGCGAUGCGAGGAUGUCGACAGGGAGGACGAGCUUCGGGCCGAGUUGGUGGCGCACCCGCCGGCAGCCGCUAGGGCCCGGGACGGCCUGGCCCCUCGGGAGCCGGCCUCUCGGGUGACAGCCACAAGGCCCUCGGAGCCGGACUGGCGCCGGGGACGUGGCGGCUCCUCCCGCAAGGCUCGUCGGGAUGCCCCUAGUCCGCUUCGUGAUGAGCACCGGAGGCCGACCCAUAAGUCUGGUCGUCGGUCUGUUUGGCUCCCAUCUAGGGUGGAUGGACGGGACUCGCGCCGGGAUGACUGGUCUCCCGGUCGUAGGUCCCCGGGGCAUCGAUCUGCUGAGCAGUCGGCGAUGCCGGCUUUGGCCAAGAAGAAGAAGAAACCUAAGAAGAAGAAGGCGUCUGGUGCGAUCCGUGGAGUGUCCGCCUGUCCGGCUCCGGUGGGGGUUCCUAAGCAGGUGGCUACGGAGCCCCCUGAUCGGGUCGGUCGCCAGCGCUCCCGCGAAGACACGAUGUGCAUCAACUGUGGGUGCGCGGGUCACUUUCGCUCGGAGUGUGAAGCCCCCUGCGGUGCCCCACGACCCUAGCGUAUCUCGGGUAUGGGACCAAGAGGGGGAGCUUCUACUUUGUGGAUGCGGAGAUCGAGGAGGAGGUGGCACGACCACACUUGGCGUCGGUCACCCUUGCCCCCGAGAAGGUCCUGCCGCCUGGGUUAGUGAUCUUGGCUGACCUCAUUCAGGCCGAGCUCGCCGCAUACAUUGGGGACUUUCGUGAUUCUGACUUCACAUGGGAGGUGACUGAGACGGCUCCACUCGUUUUCUCGGUCCCCUUCCCCUCGGCCAAGCUGCUCCGGGUGUGCUCCCAUGACUUCAUCCGCUACCCCAUCAACAAGUUCUUGAUCUCCGUUCAUGCUGCGACGGCGGAGUCUGAGCUUGUUCCGCCUCUGGAGAAGGUGUGGGUGCUCGUCUACGGACUUCCUAGGGGUGGCCUGGCGGCUCCGCGGGGAGGCAAGCUAAUGCACAUCCUUAAGGCGAUCUCCGAGCCGGUGGGCAAGUUGGUCACCGCGGAUUUGGCCUCCUUCGAGGAUGAUGGCCCUGCCCGUAUUGAGAUCCUCUGCCCUGCCCCGGCAGAGAUUGAUGGUCUGUCCCUCAUCUUCUACUUUGGCUCCAGAGGGCGCCGCCUCACCUUUGAGCUCGAGUCCCUGGCCUCGGUUGACCUGCACGGCCCGACCCUUGGUGCCGCUGUUGGUGAUGACGGGUAGGAUGGAGAUGGGGGUUCGUCUGAGGAGAGCUCCUUUUUUGAGGAGGAUGUUGGUGAUGACGGGGUCCCGCCGGUCGCGGCUGAUGGCCGGCGUACCAUGGUCUCCACUACUGAUGGCCCUUUCGGCACUGCCAGGGGUGGCCUCUCGGGUGGCGUCUGGGAGUGAGCCCGUCGUCCUCGUCGGGCUCCCGCCGGUCAUCUCUGACCUGGUGGUCGUGGACAAGGGGAGGUCCUGGGCGGCUCCUCCCUGUCACUACUACGGCCGCUAACCUGGAGUUCGAGGAGGCGGACGUGCUGAGUGUGGGGAUGGAGGUGUGCCCCUUGUCAUCGCCGCGCUCUCCGGGGGUGGUCUGCUACUCGCGCUCGCCGGGGUCGCCUUCUCCAACCUUGGGAUCCCCGGAGCGGGUUCUGCCGUCGCCCCUAGACUUGGGUCUGUUGGCGGUGACCCCGGAGGCUGCUGGCCCCAAGGCUCGUGGUGCGGACUCUCCGGUGGUGUCUGCGCGUCAGCGUGCGAGGCUCAGCCAGUCGCGCCUCCUCCUAGAUGGCUGGGUCACUACGAUCCAGGAGAAGGCCUCCCUGCGCGCUUGACCUGUCCCCAGGUACCUCCUCCCUCCCUCUCGCUCCUUCUCGCUCGACCUCUCGGUUCUCCAUUCUUGGUUGCAAGUCGUUGUCCCAUCUGGCUGAAGUGGCUUCCGAUAGUGGCAUUGUGUUUCGGGGUGAGAAGGGGCCCAUCCUGGAGCAGAUUUCCGCGAUUUGCGCCAAGGAGAAGCUUGAGGGGGCGCUGGCGGAAUCCCGUGCCUUUGCUGCGCGUGGUGAUCCCAGCUCCCAGGAGACCACUGACCCUGGUCAUAGAGAGACCAGGGGUGGUACUGCCCCCUCGUUGGCAACUAUGGCUGGGACUUCCAUGUUAGUUCCCUCCCCGCUGAGGGAGCCACGCGGUCGACCUCCCACACGCCUAAACCCCACGGAGCACCGCCUCGAGGUGCGUAGGUCUAGCUCCCGAUCCACCUCCCUCGGACCGGGGGUCACGGCUGCCCCCGCUGCGCGGGGGCAGCGUGGCCAUCCGUCUAAGGUUAUCCCCCGUCCCGCGAUUGACGGGCGGGCUAGAUCGGCCCCGCUUGCGGGGCCUAGGAAUCCAGACGAGGUUAUUAAAUGAAGCUCCUAUGUUGGAACAUCAGGGGCUUUGGCAUCACUGGCCGGCGGCGGCAGCUCAUCGAGUAUUUGCGUCAGGAAGAGAUUGACAUAGUGGGACUACAGGAGAUGAUUUGCCAGGAUUUUAGCAUGCAUGAGCUCCAUAGGCUUUCCCGUCACCAGUUUGCCUGGUAGUGCCUCCCUGCUGCGGGCCACUCUGGGGGAAUCCUGUUUGGUGUUAGGGAGGAUGUGUUCUCGAUUGAGGACAUGGACCGUGGGGAGUUCUUCGUGAGCAUGUCCGUCACUGACCGACGAGUUCACCUCAGUUGGGAGGUGAUUAUCGUCUAUGGUCCGGCGGACCAUGUCCGCUCGGCCGACUUCCUUGCCGAGUUGAAAAACAAGGUGGAGAGGUGCACCACCCCGGUGGUGGUGGCUGACGACUUUAACCUGAUUAGGUGGGCUUCUGAUAAAACUCUCCAAAUGUGGAUCGGCCCCGAAUGCGUCUCUUCAAUGAUUGCAUUGCGGACCUGGCGCUCCGUGAGAUAGCCCGCAUUGGGGCUAGGUUCACGUGGUCGAAUAAACAGGCGGACCCCAUCCGGAGUGUCUUGGAUUGGGUCUUUGUGUCGGCCCAAUGGUAAGUGAUGUUCCAUCUUUGUGGCCUUAAGGCGGUCACGCGGAUUGGCUCCGACCAUACGCCCCUGAUUUUCUCGUCGGGGGAAGGGUCCCCCCUAGAUCCCGUUGCUUCCGCUUUGAAACGUUCUGGCUGGAGCAGCCUGGUUUCUGCAAGCUGGUUCACGACCGCUGGUGUCUUGCGGCCUCGUCCCCACCGCAUGUCUUCUGUGCGGUGGAUAUAUGGCACCACUGUGCUGAGUUGGCUCGACAGUCCAUGAAGGGCUGGGGUGUGAACUUGGGUGCUGACCUCCGGGCCCGUAAAGGGGUCCUGCUGGGUCAUAUUAAGGCUCUGGAUGACUUGGAAGACGGGUCGGGUCUGUUCCUGGACGACUGGAUCCGGAGAUACUCCCUCGAGACCUCGGUCAUGGAAAUCUUCAAGAGCGAGGAACUGUUCUGGCAGCGUCGAGGGGGCCAGAACUGGCUCCUAAAGGGUGAUGCGGACACCGCCUACUUUCAGGACAUUGCUAAUGGUGGUAGGCGGAAAUGCAUCAUUCCUUUCCUCUGGGAUGGGGAUGCUCUCCUGGAAAGCCGAGAGGACAUCUCAUCCCAUAUUUACUCUUUCUAUAAGGAGUUGUUCUCGGCUGAGCCGCGUGGAGGCACCUCCCUUUGUGAGGGCUUCUGGCCGCUAGCUGGUCAGGUGUCCGACGCGGAGAAUGCAGAGCUUACUCUCCUGUUCUCCUCGGAGGAGGUGGGUCAGGUGAUUGCCUCUAUGAAGGCGUGCUCGGCCCCGGGGCCGGAUGGCCUCCCGGCUGUCUUCUUCCAGAGAUUCUGGGAGACCCUGAGCCCGCUCAUCAUGCCCAUGUUCCAUGAAUUCUAUAUAGGCACCUUGGACAUGGGCAGGAUUAACUUUGGCGUCAUUGCUCUCACCCCCAAAGUAGUUGGGGCUUCGGAUAUCCGGCAAUUCCUCCCAUCACGGUGAUUAACGUGUUGGCGCGAAUCUUCGCAAAGGUCUGCGCCACUCGUCUGUCCCCUGUGGCCGAAUGGAUUGCUCACCCCCUCUAGUCUGCAUUCCUGAAGGGCAGGCAGAUUCAUGAUGGGAUUCUUGCCCUCCACGAGAUUGUCCACGAGGUGGCGUCCAAGGGGCUCAAGGGGGUCUUCCUCAAAUUGGACUUCCAGAAGGCGUAUGACCGUCUUGAUUGGUACUUUUUGAGGUUGGUGAUGCAACGACGUGGAUUUGACGAGAGGUGGUGUUCCUAGAUCAUGCAACUGGUCAGAUCUGGUAACAUGGCGAUCAACAUCAAUGGUGAAGUGGCCCCCUUUUUCCAGGCUUCCACGGGGGUAAAGCAAGGGGAUCCUAUAUCCCCCCUGCUUUUUAACAUCACUGUCGACGCCCUUGCUGGCAUCCUGGAUAAGGCCAAGCUAGCCGAUCAUAUUCAGGGGGUGGUUGGCCACCUCAUCUCGGGUGGUGGUCUUUCCCACCUCCAAUAUGCGGACGACACCAUGAUCAUGGUCGUAGGUUCCGACUCGGACAUUGCUAAUCUUAAGUUCCUUUUGCUUUGCUUCGAGGAAAUGUGUGGACUUAAGAUUAACUUUGAUAAGAGUGAGGUUGUGGUCCUUGGCUACUCCGAGGCUGAGCAUCAGAGGAUCGCUGACAACCUUAACUGCAAGCUGGCUGCCUUCCCCAUCUCAUAUUUGGGGAUGCCCCUGGCUGAGUCCAGGAUCUUGGUUAGCGGGUUUGAUCCGCUCGUGGGACGAGUAGCAUCCCGUGCGGAGCCCUGGUGCGGCAGGUUCACGUCUAAGGGCAACAAGACCGUCCUCAUUAGUUCUAACCUUGCAAGCCACCCCAUGUAUAUGAUGGGGAUGUAUAUCUUGCCCGAAGGUGUGCAUAGCGCCUUUGACAAGGAGCUGGCUAGGUUCUUCUGGCAGGCACGGGAUGGUAGACCCAAAUACCACUUGGUGAAGUGGGCCGAUAUCUGCCUGCCGAAACACCGAGGGGGCUUGGGCAUCCCUGCAUCCCGCCGCAUGAGCAUUGCCCUCAUGCUGUGUUGGGUGUGGAGGAUCCUGCAGGGAGAUGGGGGUUUGUGGCUACAACCGACUGAGGCCAAGUACCUGCGGGGUAGGCCCCUCUUGGCCUGCUCGCUCGCGACUGGGUCACAGUUCUGGAAAUCUAUCGAGGGCAUCAAGAACGAUAUUAGGUUGGGUCUGCGGGUCUCGGUGGGCAAUGGGUCUGGGACCCAGUUUUGGUUGGACCCGUGGCUGGAUGGAGAACCUUUAUGCUUGCGAUUUCCGAGGCUUUUUGCUAUUUGCGUCGAUCGAUCUGUCCUUGUCUCUGUGUCUGCCUUGGAGGACGGAUGUCAUUUUGCGUUCCACCGCCCCCUCGGUCCAGGAUUGGGAGAUCUUGCAGGCAGUGGUUCCCCUCCCAGACUCGUCGGUCAGUGAUAGUGUUUCUUGGAGUCUUUCUCCUUCGGGAGAAUUCUCCGUUAGUUCGGCUUAUCUGGCACUGUGCCGGAUGCUGGUCCUUCCGUGGUUAUCCCCACUUUGGAAGGCACCAUUGCCCGUGAAGAUCAAGAUUUUCGUUUGGAAGCUCCUCCGCGAUCGUUUGCCUUCAGGGACCGAGGUGCUGAAACGCCAUGGUCUGGGUAACACCACUUGUCCCCUAUGCCACGUCCCGGAGACUAGAACUCACAUUCUAUUCUCCUGCAUUGCGGCACAUGCCCUUUGGUGCUUUGUGCGUGAGGCUCUGGGACCAGAGUGGGAGGCUCAUGACCUUGCAGAAUUUCUGCACGUAAGGGCCAUCCAGGUUGGCCGUAAGCGCCGACUGUUCUGGCUGGUCUUUGCAGCGAUGAUGUGGACUCUUUGGACUACUCGCAACAAAAUGGUGAUUGAGCGGGUGUUUGAGUGGCAUGCAUCUGACUCAUUCUUCAAAUUCCUUGCCUUCUUGCAGCACUGGUAUCCACUCGCUAGGACCCGAGACCGGCUUCAGCGCUAUCUGGACGCGUUGAUGACGUCCGCCCGACGGCUCUCCGCUCACUCGCAUGCUGAUUAGCUUUCCCCUAUGAUGGCAUAUUUUGUUUCUUUUUUUUCUUGGGCGUGACUGUGCUGUUGCCCGAGCGUUUUUUAUGUUUUAUCACUCUGUUGGGCUGUGGUUGUGUGGAUGCUAGAAUCUUUGCUUUAUAUAUAAAGCGGGG